GCCUUUUCUUAAUGACUUCACUGUGUCACUGUGUCACUGUGGUCGUUAUCUCUCGACUCCUUGUUCUUCCGUGAAAAUGCAGCUGGGUUGUAGGCGCCUUCCUUCUCUUGCUGGUAUAGUUCAGAGCUACCUUCAGUUUCUCUAUGAGUUAUUGAAACUGAGAUCCCUGUAUCAACACCGUCCGCUUGAUUUCUCAUCAUGAACUGGAGAUUUUUCUUGUCUUUCUUUUUCUUUCUUUCUUUCUUUCUGUCUGUCUGUCUGUCUGUCUGUCUGUCUUUCUUUCUUUCGUCUUUCUUUCUGUCUUUUUGAGACGGGGUGUCUCUAUGCAGUUCAGGCUGGCCUUGAGCUCACUUUGUAGCCCAGGCUGGUCUCGAACUCACAACGAUCCUCCCAUCUCAGCCUUCCGAGUGCUGGAAUUACAGGUGUGAGCCACCACACCCAGCUCUUUAUCAUUUCUUGCUUUGUUAGAUGAGGCCUGGCCGCCUGUCCUUUCAGCUGCCCUUUCUCAAAAUCUGCCAUCAGCUCGGUGACACAGGGAUGACUUGGUCUUCACUGUAGUUAAGGAUUCAACACGUUACAUGUAAACCGAUGCUGAAGAAUUUCUGACCGGCUUUUUCUUCUUCAUGUGGACCAUAUCUUCGCUGUGUUCCAGUCUUUCUAUUCAGCCAGAUGUUCUCCUAUUCUACCCUUCCUCAGAAACUUCCUGUAGGACCUUCUUCCUCCCACUUGACCUAGACUGCUUACUCUGCGGGCAUGUUUCACGGCAGUUCCAGAAAUGACCUGGACUCAGGGCUGGAGUGACCGAGACCAGCAUGGGGCCUACAAGGAAGAUGCUUCUGGUGAUACAUGUAUCACCUGAUGCUGAGUUAUUGGCCAUACAGACAGAGAACACCUGCAACAGAAAUACACAAAGGCAGAAGAGCAGUUUUGGCAACAGGAGGUUGUGAAAGAAGAAACAAGAAGAAAUAGCAGACAUAAAACAACAGGCUGGGGAAUGUAGCUCAAUGGCAAAAUGCCUGCCUGGCAAGUGUGAGGUUGUGAGUUCAAUUCCCAUUCCCCACAAAAUAAGAUAUAAAACAAUAAUUGAAGACGGAAGAGGGGCUGGGGGUGUAGCUCAGCAGCACAGUGCCUGCCUGGCAAGCGCAAGGUCAUGAGUUUGAUUCCUAGUACCAAAAAAAAAAAGAAAAGAAAAGCUAAGUAGCAGACGAGAUGAAUCAUGUGACGCAUGAAACUGAAGGAUGUGGGACUGGGAGGGGAACAUGCCUGAGGCCCCAGCUCCUCCGGAGACUGAGGUGGAAGAGUGAAUCAGAAGGAAUUAGGCCCAGCACUUUGGGGCCAGCCUGGACAACACAGUGAGACCUAAUCUUAAAAACAAUUAGUUAAAUUACACUCAGUUACAUUAAAAUUUUUCAGAAACUUGCUUAAAACUGCAGGAUGAAAUGGCGAGUGGAAAUAACCAUUUGAAAUGAUCAGAAAAAAAUAAACCAGAAGAAAUAUCAGUGACAGUGGAGUGACAGGAAGAUACAAAAAGAGGCCUAUUUCCAGAGAAAGCCUCUGAAAGAAACAAUAAAGAUGGUGAAUAGCAGAUCUUGGAAGAAAGACUAAGGAAUGAUGAUCAAAAAGCCAAAAGGACUUAGAGCACCAAACCAGAGAUAAUUUGCGUGAUGGUUAGUAUACAAAUUCACAUAAUACAGAGUCAAUAUUAAAAAACUGGUUGUACUGAGCUAUAUCCCUGGCCCUAUUCUUUUUAUUCUUCUAGGAGUAAAAAUCAACAUGAAAUUUAAAAUAUAUGAUUUAUAAUCCAAGCAUGGUGGCACAUUCCUAUAUUUCAGCACUUAGCAGGCUGAGGCAGGAGAAUCGCCAGGAGUUCAAGCCUAGCCUAUCUACAUAAUGAGACCCCCGUCUCAAAACAAUCAAACAAUCCCCCCCUAAUAUACCAUUUUUUUUAAAUCUUUUUCAUUUUUAUCGGUACCAGGGAUCGAACUCAUGACUGCCUGCUUGCAAGACAGGCGUUUAUGCCACUGAGCCAAAUCCCCAGCCCCCCAAUAUACCAUUUUAAUAACAUCAAAACUAUGAUGUACUUAGAGAGAAAUUUAAUGAAAUAUAUGCAAGAUCUGUAUUCUGAAAAAGUAUAAAACAUUGCUGAGAUAAAAUAAAGGAGAUUUAGAUAAAUGGAGAAAGGUACCUGUACUGUUAAGACGUAAAAAUUCCCUAAAUCAUAUUAAAGAUGAAAUACAAUUCCAGUCAGAAUUCCAAACUGAUUCCAAAAUUUACAUGGAACAGUAAAAGAAUUAGGGUAGAAUAAAAAGAAUAGGGCUGGGGAUAUGGCUCACUGGCACAGCAUCUACCUGGCAAGCACAAGGUCAUGAGUUCAAUUCCCAGUAUCAAAAAAACCCCACUGGACAUUUAGCUCAGCGCCAUAAGUGCCUGCCUUGGAAGCAGGCAGUCAUGAAAAAGCAAAAACAAAACAAAACAAAACAAAACAAAAAAAAACUAAAAUAAAGUUAAAAGACACUCAUUACUCAUUUUUAAGACAUUAUAAAACUACAGAAAUAAAUAUAAUGUGGUGUUGAUGAAAGAAUAUAUUCAGUAUAAUAUAUAUAUUCAGUAUAAUGGAAUAUAGGGUCUAAAAGUAGACAGACAUAUAUACAGUCGACUGAGUUUUUAAAAGGCUACAAAGAUAAGUUAAUGAAGACAGAACAGUCUUUUCAACAAAUCACACUGGAACAGCUGGGUAUCAUUAUGCCAACAUGUGACUCUCAACCUGUAUCUUGGCUCAUAAGUUGUGCUAGCUUUCAUUCACUAUAACAAAAUACUUGGGAUAAUCACGUUAUAAGAAGAGGUUUAUUUUGCUUAUGGUUUUGUAACGUCCAGGCCAUGAUUGUUGGCCCUGUUGUUUUGGGCCUGUAGGAAGCCAGCACAUCACAGCAGGAGUACAUGGGAGGCAAAAGCACUCACCUCAUAACCAGGAAACAACAGAAACAGGAAGAGAUGGGGAUCCCAACAUCCCCUUCAGGGGCAAAUCCCCAGUGGUCUACAGGUUCCAGAUAAGCCACACCUCCUAAGCAGUCUACCACCUCCCAAUGGCGCCACCCUGUGAGAAAACCUUAAACACAUGGGCCUUUGAGGACAUUCAGUGUCCAAACUAUAGCAUGCAUAAAAUUAUAAAGAGUUAGGUUGGGUGUUUAGCUCAGCAGUGUAAGUGCCUACUUUGCAAACUCAAGGUCAUGAGUUCAAUCCCCAGCACCCAAAAAAAAAAAAAAAAAAGCAUUCAAAA